rnacentral:rRNA from 1 species
AGCAGCCGCGGUAAUUCCAGCUCCAAUAGCGUAUAUUAAAGUUGUUGCAGUUAAAAAGCUCGUAGUUGAAUUUCGGGAUCAAAGGAUCGGUCAUGCCUUGGUAUGUACUGGUUUUAUUGGUUCUCACCUUCUAAAGAACCAUGAUGUCAUUCAUUUGAUGUUAUGGGGAAUUAGGACUGUUACCUUGAAAAAAUUAGAGUGUUUAAAGCAAGCUUACGCUUGAAUACAUUAGCAUGGAAUAAUGAAAUAGGACAUCAGAUUCUAUUUUGUUGGUUUCUAGGAUCGAUGUAAUGAUUAAUAGGGAUAGUUGGGGGCAUUAGUAUUCAAUUGUCAGAGGUGAAAUUCUUGGAUUUAUUGAAGACUAACUACUGCGAAAGCAUUUGCCAAGGAUGUUUUCAUUAAUCAAGAACGAAAGUUAGGGGAUCGAAGACGAUCAGAUACCGUCGUAGUCUUAACCAUAAACUAUGCCGACUAGGGAUCGGAUGAUGUUAAUUUUUUAAUGACUCAUUCGGCACCUUACG